CAUCCGAAUGUAAAAGUACUGCAUUUAUAUAGAGCCUUUCCACCUUAACGGACAACAAGCUUUACAAUUUGCCUCUCAUUCACCCAUUCACACACACACACACACACACACACAGACACACACACACACACACACACACACACACACACACACACACACACACACACACACACACACACAC